rnacentral:rRNA from 1 species
UGGGGAAUAUUGGACAAUGGGGGAAACCCUGAUCCAGCAAUGCCGCGUGAGUGAUGAAGGCCUUAGGGUUGUAAAGCUCUUUCGACGGGGACGAUGAUGACGGUACCCGUAGAAGAAGCCCCGGCUAACUUCGUGCCAGCAGCCGCGGUAAUACGAAGGGGGCUAGCGUUGUUCGGAAUUACUGGGCGUAAAGGGCGCGUAGGCGGUCUUGUAAGUCAGAUGUGAAAGCCCCGGGCUCAACCCGGGAAUAGCAUUUGAUACUGCGAGGCUUGAGUCCGGGAGAGGAUGGCGGAAUUCCCAGUGUAGAGGUGAAAUUCGUAGAUAUUGGGAAGAACACCGGUGGCGAAGGCGGCCAUCUGGACCGGUACUGACGCUGAGGCGCGAAAGCGUGGGGAGCAAACAGGAUUAGAUACCCUGGUAGUCCACGCCGUAAACGAUGAGUGCUAGACGCGUGGGGGUUAACCCGUUCGGUGUCGCAGCUAACGCAUUAAGC